rnacentral:tRNA from 1 species
CCUUUUUGAGAAACCCAUGUGAUACUAUAAGUAUACUAGGAUCUAAAAACCCUCAAAACC